GGGUGUUCGGCGCCUGGAGGAGCUUUCAUGUUCAAGGAUCUGGCCCUCGCCGUCGAGACCAACGGGUCGUCGCCGAGUACAUCUGGAUGACAUGAAGCAUUUGGCACCGACGCUCACCUCUUUGACAAGCCAUGCUUUCUGGGUUUGCUUGCAGUUCAGGAUAGGUAUGAGUUGAGGAAGCGGUUUUUAUUAUACUUGCUAAAACAUCGUGGGAAUGAAGCUAAAGGCAACUUUCCUGACAUUGUGAAAGAAUUUCUUAAGCACAU